rnacentral:rRNA from 1 species
CAAUAGCGUAUAUUUAAGUUGCUGCAGUUAAAAAGCUCGUAGUUGGAUUUCGGGUGGGAAUGGCCGGUCCGCCGUUUCGGUGUGCACUUGCUACGCCCACCUUGCUGCCGGGGACGUGCUCUUGAGUUCACGCUCGGGACACGGAGUCGGCGAGGUUACUUUGAGUAAAUUAGAGUGUUCAAAGCAGGCCUACGCUCUGAAUACAUUAGCAUGGAAUAACACGAUAGGACUCUGGCCUAUCUUGUUGGUCUGUAGGACCGGAGUAAUGAUUAAGAGGGACAGUCGGGGGCAUUCGUAUUUCAUUGUCAGAGGUGAAAUUCUUGGAUUUAUUAAAGACUAACUUAUGCGAAAGCAUUUGCCAAGGAUGUUUUCAUUAA